rnacentral:hammerhead_ribozyme from 1 species
AUCCAGCUGACGAGCCCCAAAUAGGACGUAACGUGCGUCCUGGAU